CUUUGAAAGAGAGAGAGAGAGAGAGAGAGAGAGAGAGAGAGAGAGAGAGAGAGAGAGAGAGAGCUGCAUUUUGCAUAGACGAUCAUGCCUCAGCUUUUGAUUCUGCCGUGUGAUUUGCUUCUGAAAUGCAUUAUGGUUAUGCUACCUUGCUACAGUGCAGAUGAACUGAUAUGCUGGUUUUUCCUCUUUUCAUCAAGUUUAAUUUUUUGUUCUUUUCGAUUAUAUUUUAUUGAAUGUUGAACUUUGUUUGUGUAUUC